GAAAUGGUUCAAACAGUGGUUACAUGUCUCCUGAAUAUGCUAUGGAAGGCUCAUUCUCUGUCAAGUCUGACACCUAUAGCUUUGGUGUUCUACUACUGGAGAUUGUAAGCGGCUUAAAGAUUGGCUCACCCCAUCUGAUAAUGGACUAUCCAAAUCUCAUUGCUUAUGUAAGUACAAAGGAAUUCCGGACUAUUGAACAGCUCAAAAACACUUUUGGUGACUUGACCAGAACUUAGUUUCAUUGGUUCAGGCAUGGAGCUUAUGGGAAGGUGGAAAUGCAAGGGAAUUGGUGGACUCGUCGGUUCUGGUGAGUUGUCCACUUCAGGAAGCUGUACGAUGCAUCCACUUGGGUCUUUUAUGUGUCCAAGACAGUCCAAAUGCGAGGCCGCUCAUGUCAUCCAUUGUGUUCAUGCUAGAAAAUGAAACAGCCCCGGUUCCUACCCCAAAAAGACCUGUAUAUUUUACUACUAGGAAUUAUGAAACUAAUCAGUCAGAUCAAUACAUGCGAAGAUCGCUGAAUAACAUGAGUAUCACAACUCUAGAGGGGCGUUAAAUGUUUAGUUUCAUUGUUCGCUAUUUUGGUAAACUUUUGUUUAAUGUGUGCCAUUAAACAAUUACAUUAGGUUUGUAUUAAUACAAUUACGCUAGCCGUUCAGGUUUGUACAUAGAAAAUGUUCCAUUAAAUCUGUUGUACACCAUCGGUUCGGUGGGUUGUAUUGAUAUAUUCUCGAGACUGUAAAGUUCACUAGUUUUUACAACUGGUUCCGCAUGUCAAAUGUCGGUUAUCUAUCUGAUCAUGUGUGCAUAACUCAGUAGUCCUCUGAUGUUGCUUUACAUGUAAGAAUUUCCUGCUUCUUGGAUUUAUCUGGCAGUCAAUGAGUGUGAAACCUUGAACCGAUGGCUCCUAUCACAAGAAAAGCUGGUGAAAAUUUAUUCGUUCUCUCUGAAUCUGCAAGCAACCAUCAUCGUUUUUACUGCUACACAGCUUAUUACGAAGAAAUGACCAUUGUAUGUUCUUUUAUCAUAAUAUUGAUUACACAGUUUCCAUAAAAAACAACAAAACAAAGGUACUCAAUAAUACCUAAAAGGCUAUUUGCUGAAUGCCAGAUUGAGCUUCAUAAGAUUGGGUGUUAUCCAAGUAGGACAGGGCCAGUUGAACCAAAUUUGAGACACAAUUUCCUUCUUGACACUAUUUUCCAAGUCUAUAACUCCCAUAUCAUGUGUGUGUGGUUUAACUAAUUCAAGCUGUACAUUCUAUUUCUUUUCUUAUCUGAAAUGGUUCACCGUGCAUACAUGUCUCCUGAAUAUGCUAUGGAAGGCUCAUUCUCUGUCAAGUCUGACACCUAUAGCUUUGGUGUUCUACUACUGGAGAUUGUAAUCAGCUUAAAGAUUGGCUCACCCCAUCUGAUAAUGGACCAUCUAAACCUCAUUACUUAUGUAAGUACAGAGGAAUUCCUGACUAUUGAACAACUCAAAAACACUCUUUUGGUGACUUGACUAGAACUUUUUUUUUUGAAACAAACUUGACUAGAACUUAGUUUCAUUGGUUCAGACGAGUUUAUGGGAAGAUGGAAAUGCAAGGGAAUUGGUGCACUCGUCGGUUUUGGAGAGUUGUCCAGCUGUACGAUGUAUUCACUUGGGUCUUUUAUGCGUCCAAGACAGUCCAAAUGCGAGGCCGCUCAUGCCAUCCGUUGUGUUCAUGCUAGCAAAUGAAACAGCCCCACUUCCUACCCCAAAUAAACCUAUAUAUUUUACUACUAGGAAUUAUGAAACUGGUCAGUCAAGUCAAUACACGCGCGA
rnacentral:lncRNA from 1 species